GAAUACCAGUGAGUUCAAUCAUGGGAGACACACGGCGGGUGAUAAGGUCCGUCGUGGAAAGGGAAACAGCCCAGACCGCCAGCUAAGGUCCCUAAAUCACAGUUAAGUGGGAAACGAUGUGGGAAGGCUCAGACAGCUAGGAGGUUGGCUUAGAAGCAGCCAUCCUUUAAAGAAAGCGUAAUAGCUCACUGGUCUAAAUAAGACUUCUGGCGGCGAAGAUGUAACGGGACUCAAACUAUACACCGAAGCUUUGGAUGCAUACUUUGUAUGCGUGGUAGCGGAGCAUUCUGUAAGUCUGUGAAGG
rnacentral:rRNA from 1 species